rnacentral:rRNA from 1 species
AACGAACGCUGGCGGCAUGCCUAACACAUGCAAGUCGAACGAGACCUUCGGGUGUAGGGGCGCACGGGUGCGUAACGCGUGGGAACCUGACCUCAGGGUCGGAAUAACUCCCCGAAAGGGGUGCUAAUACGGGAUAAUGUCUACGGACCAAAGAUUUAUCGCCUUUGGAUGGGCCCGCGUUGGAUUAGCUAGUUGGUAGGGUAAAAGCCUCCCAAGGCGACGAUCCAUAGCUGGUCUGAGAGGAUGAUCAGCCACACUGGGACUGAGACACGGCCCAGACUCCUACGGGAGGCAGCAGUGGGGAAUAUUGGACAAUGGGCGAAAGCCUGAUCCAGCACUGCCGCGUGAGUGAUGAAGGCCUUAGGGUUGUAAAGCUCUUUUACCCGGGAUGAUAAUGACAGUACCGGGAGAAUAAGCUCCGGCUAACUCCGUG